rnacentral:misc_RNA from 1 species
AUGUCCUUCCCAACCAUGCAC